rnacentral:rRNA from 1 species
UACAGAGGGUGCAAGCGUUGUUCGGAAUUACUGGGCGUAAAGCGCAUGUAGGCGGCCUAUUAAGUCAGAUGUGAAAUCCCUCGGCUCAACCGGGGAACUGCAUCUGAUACUGGUAGGCUUGAGUGUCGGAGGGGAUGGUAGAAUUCCUGGUGUAGAGGUGAAAUUCGUAGAUAUCAGGAGGAAUACCUGUGGCGAAGGCGACCAUCUGGAAGACAACUGACGCUGAGAUGCGAAAGCGUGGGUAGCAAACAGG